GAUAAACGCUAGCGGCAGGCUUAACACAUGCAAGUCGAGGGGCAGCAUAGAUUGUAGCAAUACAAUUGGUGGCGACCGGCGCACGGGUGCGUAACGCGUAUGCAACCUACCCGUCACAGGGGGAUAAUCCGGAGAAAUCUGGUCUAAUACCCCAUAACAUAUGGAUCGGCAUCGGUUCAUGUUGAAAUUUUCGGAGGUGACGGAUGGGCAUGCGUAGCAUUAGCUUGUUGAUGAGGUAACGGCUCACCAAGGCGACGAUGCUUAGGGGGACUGAGAGGUUUUCCCCCCACACUGGUACUGAGACACGGACCAGACUCCUACGGGAGGCAGCAGUGAGGAAUAUUGGUCAAUGGGCGCAAGCCUGAACCAGCCAUGCCGCGUGCAGGAUGACGGCUCUAUGAGUUGUAAACCGCUUUUGUACGAGGGUAAAGUGGGUUACGUGUAACCUUUUGAAAGUAUCGUACGAAUAAGGAUCGGCUAACUCCGUGCCAGCCGCCGCAGUAA
rnacentral:rRNA from 1 species